rnacentral:tRNA from 1 species
GCCAUAAUAGUUUAGUGGUUAGAAUACGUCGUUGUGGUCUUUGUCCUCAGUAACCCGACGUGACCCAUGUUCGAUUCAUGGUUAUGGCAC